rnacentral:rRNA from 1 species
UCGUGAAACCGCUUAGAGGUAAACGGGUGGAUCCGCAAAGUCGGCCCGGGGAAUUCAACUUGCCGUUUGGGCUGCGGACGUCUUGUCAGGGAUCCGUAAAGACCCGCUGGGCGUCCGGCAGUCGUCGGCGAGUGCACUUUCCUUGGGUAGAGCGCCACGACCGGUUUCGGAGCGGUCAUAAGCCGGCUGGGAAGGUGACUUCCUCCUUGGAGGAAGUGUUAUAGCCCGGCCAGGUCGGCUCGUUCCGAGACCGAGGAUUUGCCGCGCCUCACUGCCCCUGGCUCUCUUGGUGCGUUCGACUGGGGAAGCACUGCUUGCAGUUCUCUCCGACUGCGUGCCUUGAUUGGUCGGGAAGCACGAGGCGCUUCGGGUCAGUGGCGAAUCGGUCGGUCCUCCACCCGACCCGUCUUGAAACACGGACCAAGGAGUCUAACAUGUGCGCAAGUCAUGGGGUUCUGUACGAAACCUAAAGGCGCAAUGAAAGUGAAGGUCAACCUCCGGUCGGCCUAGGUAGGAUCCCCGCGAGGGGCGCACUACCGGCCCGUCUCGACCACAUCGUUGGUGGGGCGGAGCAAGAGCGUACACGUUGGGACCCGAAAGAUGGUGAACUAUGCCUGAGUAGGACGAAGCCAGAGGAAACUCUGGUGGAGGUCCGUAGCGAUUCUGACGUGCAAAUCGAUCGUCAAACUUGGGUAUAGGGGCGAAAGACUAAUCGAACCAUCUAGUAGCUGGUUCCCUCCGAAGUU